rnacentral:rRNA from 1 species
CUUGGUCAUUUACAGGAAGUAAAAGUCGUAACAAGGUUUCCGUAGGUGAACCUGCGGAAGGAUCAUUACUGAUUUGCUUAAUUGCACCACAUGUGUUUUUCUUUGAAACAAACUUGCUUUGGCGGUGGGCCCAGCCUGCCGCCAGAGGUCUAAACUUACAACCAAUUUUUUAUCAACUUGUCACACCAGAUUAUUACUAAUAGUCAAAACUUUCAACAACGGAUCUCUUGGUUCUCGCAUCGAUGAAGAACGCAGCGAAAUGCGAUACGUAAUAUGAAUUGCAGAUAUUCGUGAAUCAUCGAAUCUUUGAACGCACAUUGCGCCCUCUGGUAUUCCGGAGGGCAUGCCUGUUUGAGCGUCGUUUCUCCCUCAAACCGCUGGGUUUGGUGUUGAGCAAUACGACUUGGGUUUGCUUGAAAGACGGUAGUGGUAAGGCGGGAUCGCUUUGACAAUGGCUUAGGUCUAACCAAAAACAUUGCUUGCGGCGGUAACGUCCACCACGUAUAUCUUCAAACUUUGACCUCAAAUCAGGUAGGACUACCCGCUGAACUUAAGCAUAUCAAUAAGCGGAGGAA